GUGAAGAGUAACUAUGCCUGUUGUGGAAUGGCUUUGAAUGACGACCAAAAACUCUUGUCUUUUACUGCGACCAUUUACUGUUCAAUAUGUUGCAGUUUUACAAUCAACAAAG